rnacentral:rRNA from 1 species
UUCUAAUAGAAUUUCUUAUUAGUACAACCUGCUCAAUGUUUUAUAAAUAGCCGCAAUAUCUGUGCUAAGGUAGCAUAAUCAUUUGCCUUUUAAUUAAAGGCUGGAAUGAACGGUUUAACAUAUAAAUUUCUUUAUUAAAAAGAAUUCUUCAAUUUUACAUAUAAGUAAAAAGGCUUAUAACCUAAGAAAGACGACAAGACCCUGUCAAACUUUACUCUUUAGUUUUGCUGGGGCGGCAAAAAACUAUAUCUUUAUUUUUUCUCUCUUACCUAUCUAAUUUUUAAAUCCACCAAGUUACUGCAGGGAUAACAGCAUAAUUUAUUUUUAAAGUCCUUAUUUAAAAAUAAGAUUGUGACCUCGAUGUUGAAUAGAACACCCUCAGGGGGCAGCACCUCUGCACAGGAAGUCUGUUCGACUUUUUAUUUUCUACA